rnacentral:rRNA from 1 species
AAUGAUGCAUAGCCGAGUUGAGAGACUGAUCGGCCACAUUGGGACUGAGACACGGCCCAAACUCCUACGGGAGGCUGCAGUAGGGAAUCUUCCACAAUGGGCGAAAGCCUGAUGGAGCAACGCCGCGUGUGUGAUGAAGGCUUUCGGGUCGUAAAGCACUGUUGUAUGGGAAGAAAAGUUAAGGUAGGGAAUGACCUUAGCCUGACGGUACCAUACCAGAAAGGGACGGCUAAAUACGUGCCAGCAGCCGCGGUAAUACGUAUGUCCCGAGCGUUAUCCGGAUUUAUUGGGCGUAAAGCGAGCGCAGACGGUUGGUUAAGUCUGAUGUGAAAGCCCGGAGCUCAACUCCGGAAAGGCAUUGGAAACUGGUUAACUUGAGUGCAGUAGAGGUAAGUGGAACUCCAUGUGUAGCGGUGGAAUGCGUAGAUAUAUGGAAGAACACCAGCGGCGAAGGCGGCUUACUGGACUGUAACUGACGUUGAGGCUCGAAAGUGUGGGUAGCAAACAGGAUUAGAUACCCUGGUAGUCCACACCGUAAACGAUGAACACUAGGUGUUAGGAGGUUUCCGCCUCUUAGUGCCGAAGCUAACGCAUUAAGUGUUCCGCCUGGGGAGUACGACCGCAAGGUUGAAACUCAAAGGAAUUGACGGGGACCCGCACAAGCGGUGGAGCAUGUGGUUUAAUUCGAAGCAACGCGAAGAACCUUACCAGGUCUUGACAUCCUUUGAAGCUUUUAGAAAUAGAAGUGUUCUCUUCGGAGACAAAGUGACAGGUGGUGCAUGGUCGUCGUCAGCUCGUGUCGUGAGAUGUUGGGUUAAGUCCCGCAACGAGCGCAACCCUUAUUGUUAGUUGCCAGCAUUCAGAUGGGCACUCUAGCGAGACUGCCGGUGACAAACCGGAGGAAGGCGGGGACGACGUCAGAUCAUCAUGCCCCUUAUGACCUGGGCUACACACGUGCUACAAUGGCGUAUACAACGAGUUGCCAACCUGCGAAGGUGAGCUAAUCUCUUAAAGUACGUCUCAGUUCGGACUGCAGUCUGCAACUCGACUGCACGAAGUCGGAAUCGCUAGUAAUCGCGGAUCAGCACGCCGCGGUGAAUACGUUCCCGGGUCUUGUACACACCGCCCGUCACACCAUGGAAGUUUGUAAUGCCCAAAGCCGGUGGCCUAACCGUAAGGAGGAACC